rnacentral:rRNA from 1 species
UACGAAGGGGGCUAGCGUUGUUCGGAAUUACUGGGCGUAAAGCGCGCGCAGGCGGUUCUUCAAGUCAGUGGUGAAAGCCCGGAGCUCAACUCCGGAAUUGCCUUUGAUACUGAAGAUCUUGAGUUCGGGAGAGGUGAGUGGAACUGCGAGUGUAGAGGUGAAAUUCGUAGAUAUUCGCAAGAACACCAGUGGCGAAGGCGGCUCACUGGCCCGAUACUGACGCUGAGGCACGAAAGCGUGGGGAGCAAACAGGG